rnacentral:lncRNA from 1 species
CAGCGCGCGCGUGUGCCAUGGCUGUCAGACCUGUGAAAUUGGCUCCUAGCAAGGCGCUUAUGACAACUAUCAAGUCCCUUUUAGUGGCACCUUAGCCAGUAUCAACACUGGACUAUCCACUCCUAAAACCUACCAACAUUCUAUCCCAAAAAGGGCCUUCAAACAACCCUAAAAACUCGCCUGGACUCAGAAAGCGCGCACCCUGAUAGUCACGGUGCUGCUUCUAUCUGCCAGCUCAAGUCCCCGGAUGUAGGAAUGCCCAAGGUGGCUCUGAGAACCUCAACUUCCUGGAUUCAGGAUGAGCGGCCUGGCUGUUUCCUUUCAGCUGUGACUGAUGAAUAGCUAUCCAUCCUCCUGUGACUGAAGUUGCAGCUUGGUGUUGUAGUAGGUAAGCAAUUGUAUAAAUUACCUCUCAUCCAAGUCACAAAAUAUGUUUGCCAAAAUGAUUUCUUCUGAAAUUGCAAAAGUGGAAAUAGAGUGCACAGAGAGAAAUUGAGUUUGCUCCAAGGGGCUGUGAAUGCACCAUUAAGAAGCCAUAGAAAGAGAUUAGCAAUCCAUCUGGUGUGUUUGCACAUCAUUUAGUACCAUUUUGGGGUAUUUCUGGAGCAGUGACAACCACGGGAGGGGAGGAACAGGAGGCG